rnacentral:snRNA from 1 species
CAUUAGCAUGGCCCCUGUGCAAGGAUGACAUGCAAAUUUGUGCAGUGUUCUGUAUUUUG